UAGGGAAUCUUCGGCAAUGGGGGGAACCCUGACCGAGCAACGCCGCGUGAGUGAAGAAGGUUUUCGGAUCGUAAAGCUCUGUUGUUACGGAAGAACGAGUGUGAGAAUGGAAAGUUCAUGCUGUGACGGUACUUAACCAGAAAGGGCCGGCUAACUACGUGCCUGCAGCCGCUGUACUAAGUAGGUCCCCAGCGUUGUCCGGCUUUAUUGGGCGUAAAGCGAGAGAAGGAGGUUAGAAAUGUCUGAAGUGAAGAGCAGUGGAUCAACAAAUGUGAGCGUUGGAAACUGUUAAACUUGAGUGCAGAAGGGGAGGGUGGAAUUCAAGGUGUAGCGGUGAAAUGCGUAGAUAUAUGGAAGAACACCGGUGGCGAAAGCGGCUCUCUGGUCUGAAACUGACGCUGAGGCUCGAAAGCGAGGGGAGCGAACGGG
rnacentral:rRNA from 1 species